rnacentral:lncRNA from 1 species
GAGGAGGGGGCACAUGAUGUGAGCGAGGUGCCUGUGAGGGUGGGACAGGGCCUGGCACACAACGGGUGACAGCUGGCAGCUGUUGAAUGAACGAAUGUUCAAGUGAGUGGACAGAUGAAUGAGUGAUACACGGCUGAAUCCAACGUGGGAGUGGGGAGGGGUCAGUCAUAGAGGACUGCUUGGUGGAGGAGGCCUCUGGCCGGGCCUGAAAUGACAGUAAGAGGAGUGAAGUGUAAUAAUGGAGCAGAGCAGCAGCUAGCAUGACCGGGUCCUCACAGGCGCCAGGCACCGUUGUAAGUGUUCUGCAUGAAUAAGCUUGCCUCAUCCGACAACAAACCACGUGGGCUUAUCCCUCCUGCCAUUUUAUGCACUGGGAGCUGACACAGAAAACCCAGUGUCCCUGGUCAGGAAGCUGAGAUCUCCCCGCUGUGUGUCAUCCUCCAAAGCAGAGGAGCCAUCGGGCGAUUGGUGGGCCUCUGUGGGGGGAGGUUGGGGUGGUUCCGUGUCACGAGGGCAGUCGGGAGGCUGGUCCCUGAUGUCAGCAAGGGGCCCGCGGCCUGAGGGUCAUGAUGGCAGGAAUGGAGAGCUGAGUCAGGCAGAUGCUGAGUGGGGAGGGAGUGUGGGCCAUGUUUGGGGACAGAGGGGAGAGGGGACACAUUAGACACUGUCACAGCAGGGAGCACAUGGAGCUUCAGGAGUUCUCGGCACAGAGAGGACCCGGAAAAGCUUGUCAGGAAGGUGCAGAGCUGGACAGGGAGGGCCUGGGACAAAUCCUGAGGAACAGCACCCACGCUGGCCCUGGGAGGGAGGGACAGAGCUGCAGGAAAAACCUGGGGAGAGAAGACAAGAAGUGGCCGCUGCAUCUCAGGCCAUGCCAUUCUGCUGGGAGAUGGGCCAAGACUCGUGCUUUGGACUGAAACAAAAACGUCUCUGCAGACCUGGGCGACAGCCGUGGGUGACCAGUGAAGGGAUGUCAGGGGAAACCACGGGGUUAUUUCUCCAAGGUCAGCUUGAAGAGGCCACGAGGGGACAAAGCAAUCCGUCAUCAUCUCUGUGCAAAGGCUCACCCCCCGCAGCUGACAGAAGCUGCUUCACACAGCCGAAAAAUAGCACUUAUGGAAAGGUCCAGUUCAGUCCAGCACGAGGCUGCAGCCCUUCGGGGCAGACACGUGAGCCUGCGAGAUGGGACAGGACCGAGGCCCCCUGACAGGGGCUCUGGGCGCUGGUCUUCAGGUGACUUGAGGUUCACAGAUGUUAAGGGGCAGGAGCAAGGCUGAGGAUGACUCGUUUUCAUCCACCGAGCGGGUUUUCUGAGCAUUUACUUCCCACCACCCACUCCGUUAUUUUAGAGGAGGUAGUGGUGUAGUCCUAAACCCUUGAUCCCAAGGAAGUCACUCUCUAGUGUCAGAUAAAGAUUCAUGAAGACGUGGGUUAUAAAGAAACUCAAGACCCGUUAGUGCAGAAGUGAGAAAAUGGUGAGAGCCGUCAACAGGAUGGGACGCGCAUGCUGGGAGGACGACAUGUUUCACAGGGUGGGGGUCAGGGAGGCGCACUGGCAUUCCACAAAGGGGACACCUGCUGCAUGCACCCCCUGCACUAGCUGUCGUGCGGCAGAGACGGGGAGCAUGUGAUCCCUGCUCUUUCAGAGACGGGAAGUCUGGAAAAAGCACAAAGACUCAAGUCAACAAAGCAACACAGCACGGGAGAUUCUGUGCCAGCGACUGUUCCCCGGGCAAGAGGGGGGCUGAGCGGGGUCUGAGGACAAUGACUGGUGGUUGAUUUAGAAAUUAGGAAAGCGUUUCAGCAGAGGGACCAGCGUGUAUGAUGCUGCCUGACACAUUUAGGAGACGUUCUGUGUCGCUGGGUAGGUGCUGGCUGUGGUGAACAAGAGCCAGAGGAGAGCAGGGGUGGAGGAGGCCGGCCCAGUCACACAGGGUCCCCUGUGUCAAAUUAAGGAGUUUAGACCAGACGCCCACAUCAGCGAGGAAACUGCAGAGCCCUUUAAUGAGGCAAUGCUGCACUCAGAAAGAUGACUUUCUUAGACCAGAGUGGCCCACGGAGCAGUGCAGUCACUUCCCCUUCCGCCAGAAAUGCCAUAAAAGUGACAGAGUGGGAAGGGACAAAUGAGAAUAAGUACACAAGAGCGAUGACAACUGGGAAGGGAUGUCACGAAAGAAGCAGAGAUGUUGCAGGAUUUCUGGGGAUCCUGGAUAGAAUCAGAUAAAUGGAGAAACCAGAGCAUCAAUGAAAAGGAGCCUGAAAAAGCUGCUGCAGAGAUCAGAGCCCUCCUCCCCCGCAGCCCCGGAGCCUCGGCCUGAGGCAGAGGAGGGAGCAUGCCAGCCAUCUCCAGGGUGAUCUGAAUCAGGGGGCCCGGGAAGAUCAUCUGGAACUCCUUUCUGAACAAAGCGAGGGGCCGUGGAGUCUGUUUGCUCUGGAUCAGCCGCGCUGGGUCUGAAUUCCAGCUCUGCCCAAGGUUCCCAUGAAAUGUGAAUCCUGAGGAAGUGGAAGUCCAGGUGUCUGGCACUUUCUCAGGAUAGGUCUAUGCCAGUUUCUGUCCAGCUUGCUUUGGGGAAGGUUGGUAACCUGAGAAUGGGGCUCCCAGCAGAAGGAAGAUGAGCAGUGCUCAAGUGCGAGCCCUCCACCUAUGUCUUUAGGAAGGCUGCUGUGCUAGGAUUGUGUUCAGGAGAGAUCCCCGGAUUACAUCCUGGAAAUAACAAGGAAAAGAUUAUCAGAGUUCUUGGAAAUUUGAUGACAUUAAAAACUCAAAAAAAUAGCCAAAUAGCAGAAUGGCUACAGUCGAAUACUGACCUAUUCAUCUCUAUGAUUGGGUUAAGGAAUUUUACUAAAAGAGGGAAAAGGGGGAGAACAGAGAGAUUGAAACAGAGGAAAUGCUCACAGAUGAAAAGGAGAAUUUUUUCCUGAAUUGAGAAAAGCCAUGAAAUUUUAGCUUUCAAAGACUUUAUUGUGGGACAAGAUAGAUUAAGAAACAAAUAUGAGCGCUUGGAUACAGUCUGGAUAAAUGCCAGAACUCCAAAAAUUAAGAAACUAAACUGUCCAAAAAUCUCUGAUAGCAUGAAAACAACAAAGACAGACACCUAGCACGGAGCAAGAACCACACUGCUGGUAAAUUUCUAACAGCAGCUCAUCCUCUGACAAAAUGUCUUAAAGAUCUGAAAGUAUUUUGAUUCUGUAAUUCUAAGCUCCGAAAAACUAUUACUCAACUAGCAGAGCAAAUAAAGUGAUUUUCAUGCAUGAGAAAACUCA